rnacentral:rRNA from 1 species
CGGAAUUUCUGCGGUAAUGAUUAAUAGGGUCGGACGGGGGCAUUGGUAUUGCGACGUUAGAGGUGAAAUUCUUGGAUCGUCGCAGGACUGACGAAAGCGAAAGCAUUUGCCAAGAACGCUUUCAUUGAUCAAGAACGAAAGUUAGAGGUUCGAAGGCGAUCAGAUACCGCCCUAGUUCUGACCGUAAACGAUGCCGGCCGGCGAUCCGUCGUUGUUCCUAUUGCAUGACUCGACGGGCAGCCUACGGGAAACCAAAGCGUUCGGGUUCCGGGGGUAGUAUGGUUGCAAAGCUGAAACUUAAAGGAAUUGACGGAAGGGCACCACCAGGAGUGGAGCUUGCGGCUUAAUUUGACUCAACACGGGAAAACUCACCAGGCCCGGACACCGAGAGGAUUGACGGAUUGACAGCUCUUUCUUGAUUCAGUGGGUGGUGGUGCAUGGCCGUUCUUAGUUGGUGGAGCGAUUUGUCUGGUUAAUUCCGAUAACGAACGAGACUCCGGCCUGCUAAAUAGGCGUGAAAAUCCGAUUCCGGCAGGCGAGGGAAGAGCCGCGCGUGCGUUUCCGCUUCGGGUUCGUCCCGGACGCGAGGGGCGUAUCGCGCACUCUUCUCCGUCGCCGGGCGAUCGGAGAACCGGUAUCCCGUCUACCGGCGACACAUGGAAAUUCAUCUCUUCUUAGAGGGACAAGCGGCAUCUAGCCGCGCGAGAUGGAGCAAUAACAGGUCUGUGAUGCCCUUAGAUGUUCUGGGCCGCACGCGUGCUACACUGAAGGAAUCAACGUGUUCGCACGUCCUCGGCCGAGAGGUCCGGGCAACCCGUUGAACCUCCUUCGUGCUAGGGAUCGGGGAUUGCAAUUGUUCCCCGUGAACGAGGAAUUCCCAGUAAGCGCGAGUCAUAAGCUCGCGUUGAUUACGUCCCUGCCCUUUGUACACACCGCCCGUCGCUACUACCGAUUGAACGAUUUAGUGAGGUCUUCGGACCUGCACGCGGGCGUCCGGAGCGACCGUGGGCUUCGGCCCGCGGACGUCCGGAUUGCCCGCAGUCGCGAGGAAGACGAUCGAACUUGAUCGUUUAGAGGAAGUAAAAGUCGUAACAA